AGUGAACGCUGGCGGUAGGCCUAACACAUGCAAGUCGAACGGCAGCACAGUAAGAGCUUGCUCUUACGGGUGGCGAGUGGCGGACGGGUGAGGAAUACAUCGGAAUCUACUUUUUCGUGGGGGAUAACGUAGGGAAACUUACGCUAAUACCGCAUACGACCUACGGGUGAAAGCAGGGGAUCUUCGGACCUUGCGCGAUUGAAUGAGCCGAUGUCGGAUUAGCUAGUUGGCGGGGUAAAGGCCCACCAAGGCGACGAUCCGUAGCUGGUCUGAGAGGAUGAUCAGCCACACUGGACCUGAGACACGGUCCAGACUCCUACGGGAGGCAGCAGUGGGGAAUAUUGGACAAUGGGCGCAAGCCUGAUCCAGCCAUACCGCGUGGGUGAAGAAGGCCUUCGGGUUGUAAGCCCUUUUGUUGGGAAAGAAAAGCAGCAGGUUAAUACCCCGCUGUUCUGACGGUACCCAAAGAAUAAGCACCGGCUAACUUCGUG
rnacentral:rRNA from 1 species